UCGCCGCCGCUACUGUACCCGCGUCGUCGUCGUCCUCGUCUUGGAGUCGGUUGCCGCCACUUAUGGAGGAGCCAGAGAGAGCGAGAGAGAGCGAGCUCGGGAGCAGAGGAGAGAAAAGAGAGACCCGCGCCAGCCACCGCCGCUUCUGCCGCUCGAAAUCCUGCUGCCGCUGUCGGAGAACGCACUCUCUCCGCCGCCGCUGCUUGUUGUUCUGAACUGCUGCACCGUCGUUGCCGCCGUUCGGGUCACUGGGAACCUGGCAGUGAUCACCGGAACCACCAUCAGAGUUACCGUUAUUUCAAUUCAGCCGUUCGUCCUUGCUGGGAUCGAGUUCCGGGUCUUGAUUGCUGAGUUCUAUGGCUGUAGCAUACAACAUCAAGGUGCUGUGUCGUCACCGAAGCUGCUGUUGCUCCAUUUUCUCAAUUAGUUGUAAGCCCAGAUUGAGCUAAGGCUAUGUUUAGAGGUUGUGGCUGCUGCGGGGACAGUCGGUAUUGAUGUUGCUGCUGUGGAAUAAGAAUAAAAAUGUAGUUUGUCGCGUAGUUGAAUCGCGAAUGAGGUAGGGGCGUCUUUCUCAAACCUGUUUUUCUUUCCAGAGUUGUUGUAAAUCGAUAUUAAUGCGUAAAAUACAUCUUUAGUGAUUGCCUGGGUCUUAUGAAUUGAAUAGAGUUGUCUUGGAUGAAUAAGAUUAUUAGUUUGAUUGAUAGCUGGAUCGAUUGAGAAAGCUGAAUAUUCUGAUUAGUUGACUGAUGUUGUUAAAGUGGGUUUCCUUGAAUUAAUGGGAGAGAUUUAAUAAUGGCAUUUAGUUUAAUUUUGGAAACAAUUCGAUUUUAGGAAAGGUUUAGUAUUGAAAAUUUGAUGUGAUAUUGAACCCGAUUUGAUAUUGGAAUUUGAUUUUAAACCAAUUUGGAAAGGACUUGAUAUUUGGAAAUGGUUUGUUUAUUGAGAAUAAUUUACUAUUCUGGUAAUGGUUCGAACAUGGUUUGAGGAACGGUUUGGUUUGAAACUGUUUGAGAAAACUGAAAGUUCUUAAUUAUUGAUUAAUGCUGUUGAAUGAGGUUGAUUUAAACUGCGAUUUAUAGGAUUGGUUGAUUGGAUUCUGGAUUUUGCAGUUUCUCUGUGUUGAGUGUGGUUGUUGUGAAAAUUAUUAUUAGAAGUGAUUUGAACGUUUAACAGGUGUUUGUUUUGGUUUGGUUGGGACCCGAAAAGGGUGGCAAAAUCCGAGUUUUAGUGGAGAUGCUGCCGAAAUUUUAUAAAAUUGGAAGUUUUGUUUGAAGCAAUUGUUUAAAAAGAUUUAGUUCUUAAACGUUAUUUGUUUCAGAUUAAUUUAUUUAGAAAAGAAAGAAUUAUGUUUUGAAUUGAGAUUGUUGAGUAAUGGAAAGAAGGAUGAUGAGGAUUAAUUUGAAAUAUGAUUUCUGAAUGAAUUUGAAAAUGGGACAUGGAUUGACGAAUGAUGAUGAUAUUGAGAAUGGCUUAGAUAUUGAUGAAUGAUGAAUGAAUUAUUUAUAUGGCUUAUGAAUUUAAAAUAUCUGAGAUACGAGGUUCCCUGGAUUAAGUACCGUGGCUUGCCACCACGUGUACCAGGUUGACAACUCGAUACUCUGUUGACCCUACGAUGUAAGUGUGUGACCGGGCACUAAAUAAAUUCCCGGGAAUGUUACCCCCAUUGAGUAAUAUUGAUUAUUUGAGAAAAAGCUAUGCAUAGACUCUUGGGGAUGCACGUCGGGGGACAGUCUAAGUACAAUUCAGACUUGUCGGGUUGGCUGGAUAACCGACAGAUGAGCCUCAUCAGCCAUAGGACAGGCAUGCAUCAUAUGCAUUUAUAUGCUUUGCUUGAGUUUGAACUUGUUUUGGUUUGCCUAAUUGCUAAAUUGUUCGUAACUGCUACUUGGACUAUUUGCUGUAACUGCUGCCUACUUGUGCUUUCCUUGUCUGCUUUGCCCGUGUUUGUCCUGGCGUGCUACAUUUGAGAUUGAACUUUGGUGCUAUAUUAAUGAUUGUGUUGUUUGACUGCGUGGUUGGUUUCUGAUGGAAAGUUUCUUGUAAGAAAGGAAAGGUUUCGGAUUUCUGAAAGAUUAAACAUUGUUUCU